rnacentral:snRNA from 8 species
CCCAAAUGUGGAAAUCUCGAUUUGCAUAAUUUCUGGUAGUGGGGGACUGCGUUCGCGCUCUCCCGUG